AUUGAACGCUGGCGGCAUGCCUUACACAUGCAAGUCGAACGGCAGCAUGAUCUAGCUUGCUAGAUUGAUGGCGAGUGGCGGACGGGUGAGUAAUACAUCGGAACGUGCCCUGUAGUGGGGGAUAACUAGUCGAAAGAUUAGCUAAUACCGCAUACGACCUGAGGGUGAAAGUGGGGGACCGCAAGGCCUCAUGCUAUAGGAGCGGCCGAGGUCUGAUUAGCUAGUUGGUGAGGUAAAGGCUCACCAAGGCGACGAUCAGUAGCUGGUCUGAGAGGACGAUCAGCCACACUGGGACUGAGACACGGCCCAGACUCCUACGGGAGGCAGCAGUGGGGAAUUUUGGACAAUGGGCGAAAGCCUGAUCCAGCAAUGCCGCGUGUGUGAAGAAGGCCUUCGGGUUGUAAAGCACUUUUGUCCGGAAAGAAAUGGCUCUGGUUAAUACCUGGGGUCGAUGACGGUACCGGAAGAAUAAGGACCGGCUAACUACGUG
rnacentral:rRNA from 1 species